rnacentral:rRNA from 1 species
GACGAACGCUGGCGGCGUGCCUAAUACAUGCAAGUAGAACGCUGAAGGAGGAGCUUGCUUCUCUGGAUGAGUUGCGAACGGGUGAGUAACGCGUAGGUAACCUGCCUGGUAGCGGGGGAUAACUAUUGGAAACGAUAGCUAAUACCGCAUAAGAUUGACUAUUGCAUGAUAGUCAGCUAAAAGGUGCAAUUGCAUCACUACCAGAUGGACCUGCGUUGUAUUAGCUAGUUGGUGGGGUAACGGCUCACCAAGGCGACGAUACAUAGCCGACCUGAGAGGGUGAUCGGCCACACUGGGACUGAGACACGGCCCAGACUCCUACGGGAGGCAGCAGUAGGGAAUCUUCGGCAAUGGACGGAAGUCUGACCGAGCAACGCCGCGUGAGUGAAGAAGGUUUUCGGAUCGUAAAGCUCUGUUGUAAGAGAAGAACGAGUGUGAGAGUGGAAAGUUCACACUGUGACGGUAUCUUACCAGAAAGGGACGGCUAACUACGUG